rnacentral:tRNA from 1 species
UCCUCCUUAGCUCAGUCGGUUAGAGCAUCUGACUGUUAAUCAGAGGGUCUCAGGUUCAAGUCCUGAAGGGGGAGCGA